CACCUUUGUUAUUAAACACAGGCUUUGAUGAUGACACAUUUCCCGUGUUCAUAACUUGUGAUUGGUGAAGAAACAGCUGAGGCCUAGAUAAGUUAUGUGCCCAAUGCCACACAGCUAGAAAGCUACAAAGCUGAAGUUUGAACCCAACUCAUCUUGGUCCAGAGUCUGUGCACAGAAGUCCUCAUACAUCCGGCACUCAGCCUGCUCUUGAGCAAAAGGUACAUGUCCAACUUAAGAAAGCGUUUACUACUAGAGAUCGCUGAAAAAAUCAUAAGUCAUCUCAAUCAGGUUGAAU
rnacentral:lncRNA from 1 species